GCAUCCUCGAUUUGGCUUUUUCUUUUUCUCUUUUUGUUUCUGUGGUGGUUUGAUAACUACCCUGAUCGCUGAAUCAAAAACAGCCUUCACAUUCUGCAAAAGCAUAGAGAAUACAACACAAUCACAGAACCCAUUUAGAAAAUAUUAUUUCACAGUGACAGACACAAAACAGGGACAGAACAAGAUCCUCAUUUAGUAAUGUGCCAAAAACCCCUAUGAGAGAGAGUAACCAUGCAAUUUAUAUAUGUUUAAUACUGUAUAACAAAUAGCACAGAGCAUCUGAAUAUAAUUUUCAUAAAGAAACAUCAACUUUUUGCCAAGCAUUUAUGAGGGGAGCAGGGUUCAGGUGACCAGUUCCCAAUUCAGGAUAGUGACACUACAGCUACAAUAUACAAUCACAGGAAGUAACUUUCAAAAGUUUCACCAUCUUCAGGAGAGCAAUUCAUCCAGACAAACAUUACUUUGCAGGCAUUUCAAUUAUCAUGGACACAAAUUACGUUAGAUGAAAUUCACUGUCUUGCCAUAUUUCCACACACCUGUUGAGUUUUUGAGCU
rnacentral:misc_RNA from 1 species